UACGUAUGGGGCAAGCGUUAUCCGGAUUUACUGGGUGUAAAGGGAGCGCAGGCGGCCUGGCAAGCCUGAUGCGAAAUACCGGGGCCCAACCCCGGGGCUGCAUUGGGAACUGCCAGGCUGGAGUGCCGGAGAGGCAGGCGGAAUUCCUAGUGUAGCGGUGAAAUGCGUAGAUAUUAGGAGGAACACCAGUGGCGAAGGCGGCCUGCUGGACGGUGACUGACGCUGAGGCUCGAAAGCGUGGGGAGCAAACAGG
rnacentral:rRNA from 1 species